GUAGGUGGCAAGCGUUGUCCGGAAUUAUUGGGCGUAAAGCGCGCGCAGGCGGUCCUUUAAGUCUGAUGUGAAAGCCCACGGCUCAACCGUGGAGGGUCAUUGGAAACUGGGGGACUUGAGUGCAGAAGAGGAGAGUGGAAUUCCACGUGUAGCGGUGAAAUGCGUAGAGAUGUGGAGGAACACCAGUGGCGAAGGCGACUCUCUGGUCUGUAACUGACGCUGAGGCGCGAAAGCGUGGGGGGGAGCGAACAGGAUUAGAUACCCUGGUAGUCCACGCCGUAAACGAUGAGUGCUAAGUGUUAGAGGGUUUCCCGCCCUUUAGUGCUGCAGCUAACGCAUUAAGCACUCCGCCUGGGAGUACGGUCGCAAGACUG
rnacentral:rRNA from 1 species